AUUCCACAGCAGACAGGUUGCAGUGAAAAUCCAAAUGCACAAUGCAGUUUCUUCAGCAUCCUCAGGGAAAUAAAUUUACCUUCUAAAUACCUGUAUAAGGUGUAUCUAAAACAUAAGCAGUUUCUUCAGUGUCCCCAGGGAAAGUAAAUUUACCUUCUAAAUACCUGUAUAAGGUGUAUCCAAAACAUAAGCGAGUUUUGCGUUUAGAUGGGUCACAUCCCAAGGAUAUCUCAUAAGGUGAUGAGGCUCUGAAACCAGGGUCAGAGACAUAGGGACAAGAACCACUGAUGGUGACGAAACAACGAGGCCACCCUCCUGUCAGUGAGAGGGGGCCAAGGCGAAGCCGGACACUGGACGGAGCGAAGCGUGGACACCUGCUGUGCAGACGUCUCCACGUGGACAAAGGCCAUCUGCCUCACAGACUCACCGAGAACCAGGCCAAACCCGGCUUUACAUACGUGAAUAUUAUGUUUCCAACAGCUCAAAAGGAGCACGUCGUGGGACAAAUAGAAGGGCUCUGAAUUCC
rnacentral:lncRNA from 1 species